AGGACGAACGCUGGCGGCGUGCCUAACACAUGCAAGUCGACGAAGCAGUUUCCUCGGAGAUCGUCGAAGAGGGACUUGACUAGUGGCGGACGGGUGAGUAAUACAUGAGCAACCUGCCCUGAGAGGGGGACAACAGUUGGAAACGACUGCUAAUACCGCAUGAUGUAACGGAGGGCAUCCUCUUGUUACCAAAGAUUUAUCGCCUUGGGAUGGGCUCAUGUCUGAUUAGCUAGUUGGUGGGGUAACGGCCUACCAAGGCUGCGAUCAGUAGCCGGACUGAGAGGUUGAACGGCCACAUUGGGACUGAGAUACGGCCCAGACUCCUACGGGAGGCAGCAGUGGGGAAUAUUGGGCAAUGGGCGAAAGCCCUGACCCAGCAACGCCGCGUGAAGGAAGAAGGCCUUCGGGUUGUAAACUUCUUUUAUGAGGGACGAAGGACGUGACGGUACCUCAUGAAUAAGCCACGGCUAACUACGUGCCAGCCGCAGC
rnacentral:rRNA from 1 species